CGCUUGCCACAUUUGCCACAAUUAAAAUGACAUAAAUACCUAACACUUACUUACAUUAUACAGUCGCCGUCGUCGAAGAUUGGCAAGAGCAACCUACUAAGUCUCCAGCUAGCUUAUUCAUUAUGAGCUCCAAUUCCAUCGCCGCCCAUUUUAAGCCCCCUUGCCAUGGCUUUGAUCCUGUUGGUGGCGCUCGGGUCCCCUCAAGUGGAUGCCAGGCGAUCCCAUGGGUCUAAGCUUUCAAGGAUCUCAACAUGGUCACAUCAAGUUCUCUCCGAUCACCACUCCCCCACCGAUGAAACUUGUGCCGUGGAUUAUGGAGGACGAGACACUAACGGACUUGUGGAAUAGCGGGUGGACGCUUUUCACAAGAAUUUCUGGAGAGCGUGGGAGCUGGUAACCAGUUUACGGUUUGUUUUGGACGAGCCCAAAGGCGAGAUGCGAGAAUAUCGCUUUCACGACCCAGACGUUCCAAGUGGAAACGGUCCUUCAUGCUUCCAGGAUUAUGGAAGAUGAAUGAAACCUCAAAUUAAACGAGUCGAAUUGAAAAAUCUUUGUUUUUUAUGUUCUUAUUUAACAAUGCAAUGGUAAAUCAGUAUUAAAUACAAAUGAUUUACUUGUGCGUCAGUUCAGCCUACAUGAUUGACUUUAAAGUAGAUUAUUCGACUAAAAGUGCAAUCUGUGCGUUUAGCAUCAGCUUCGCCCGAUUGGAAAAUCAUAGAAAGCGUAAUUCCGCGACGAAUUGACCAACAUUCAAUCUUACGCGGAAAAGGCAACUAACCCAUUUUUCCCAAACUUUGGCAGACACGAGUAAAAUCAAAAACAGGACCCACGUUGGAAUCAAUUACAAACAAACCUUAGUUCCAAAAAAAAUGUACAAGGUAUUAUUGUUUUCCAUGACUUCAGCGUGCAGUAUUUUUCUUGUGCACAGCUCAAGUUAUAUUUAAGUUUGGCACCUGUUUUUGGCUCAAAUCGUUUCAAUUUGGCGCUUGCUUUUUAUUUUAUUUCAAACAUUAAAUAUAGAGACUAAAUACUAGAGUCUUCAGUGAAAGCAACACACUUCAGUAACACGUCGACCUUUAUCACCAUGGACCCUAUAUAUACCUUGCAUGGACCCAAAUGCAAAGAGUGGUGCAGUAAGGCAGUGAGGAGAAGACUGUUUUAAAAUCGUCCAAUCUCUUGGUCUGUAUUGAGAUUACGUUUAUUCAUGCAAAAAAAUCGGCUCAAAGAUGGAGUAGGACGUACACCACUGAAUACAGAUUCCAGUGGUCUAUGAAAAGGACCAUCUUGAUGUUCUCCACUGCAAAGAUUUUGUCCUAUGAGAGCAAGGUCUCUCAUCAGAGCGGUAUGCAACGAGAUUCGGAGAAAUCCAAUUAGGUUGAUGAACCAAAUGCCCAGGAAUUACAAUGUGUCCCAAAGAACCAUUCAAAGGAUAGUGAAACAAGACCUUGGAUUGCAUCCAUAUAAACCAAACAAAAGGCUUGUUUUGGUGGA